UGGUCUGGUAGUUCAGUUGGUUAGAAUACAUGCCUGUCACGCAUGGGGUCGCGGGUUCGAGUCCCGUCCAGACCGCUUC
rnacentral:tRNA from 1 species